UCAAUGGUGGACUGUGCGGAGGCACCUCAGGGUGCGCCGGUUCCCUUUGUAGCCGGUAAGACCAACUCCGUACAGUUCACCACCA
rnacentral:antisense_RNA from 1 species